GACGUAGGGCGCAAGCGUUGUCCGGAUUUAUUGGGCGUAAAGAGCUCGUAGGCGGCCUGUCGCGUCGACCGUGAAAACCCGCAGCUCAACUGCGGGCUUGUGGUCGAUACGGGCAGGCUGGAGUUCGGUAGAGGAGACUGGAAUUCCUGGUGUAGCGGUGAAAUGCGCAGAUAUCAGGAGGAACACCGGUGGCGAAGGCGGGUCUCUGGGCCGAUACUGACGCUGAGGAGCGAAAGCGUGGGGAGCGAACAGG
rnacentral:rRNA from 1 species